AUUUUAGGUCCUUGAAGAAUGCAAUAACUGACCAGCUUCAGUUCAUUAAGGGUCAUGGUCAGCUGAGCCAUGGAAAAGAAGAGGCUACGAGGUUUGGCAACAUUGAUAGAGGCCCUUAUUGCCAGAGGUCAGUUCAGAACUCAGGAUUCAUUGAGCACCAGCCUGUUUGGAGACCUCAGAGGGGGCUUCCUGAGCGUGCUGUGACUGUACUUAGGGCAUGGUUGUUUGAACAUUUCUUGCAUCCUUAUCCUACAGAUACAGACAAG
rnacentral:misc_RNA from 1 species